rnacentral:misc_RNA from 1 species
UGUAGGAGUGAGCCUGCUCGCGAUGGCGUUCUGUCAGGCACCCACUCAGUGACUGGUGCACCGCUAUCGCGAGCAGGCUCACUCCUACA